GACGAACGCUGGCGGCGUGCUUAACACAUGCAAGUCGAACGGAAAGGCCCUGCUUUUGUGGGGUGCUCGCGUGGCGAACGGGUGAGUAACACGUGAGUAACCUGCCCUUGACUUGGGAUAACUUCCGGAAACCGGGGCUAAUACCGGAAAGGAGCUCCUGGCGCAUGGUGGGGGUUGGAAAGUUUGGGCGGUUGGGGAUUGACUCGCGGCUUAUCAGCUUGUUGGUUGGGUAGUGGCUUACCAAGGCUUUGACGGGUAGCCGGCCUGGGAGGGUGACCGGCCACAUUGGGACUGAGAUACGGCCCAGACUCCUACGGGAGGCAGCAGUGGGGAAUAUUGCACAAUGGGCGGAAGCCUGAUGCAGCAACGCCGCGUGCGGGAUGACGGCCUUCGGGUUGUAAACCGCUUUCGCCUGUGACGAAGCGUGAGUGACGGUAAUGGGUAAAGAAGCACCGGCUAACUACGUG
rnacentral:rRNA from 1 species